GCAGAGGCAUUUAGCUGUGUAAACACAGAGCUUCAGUGGCAGCACCCUAAAUGCUUAGCUGAUAGAUCCGGAAUUAAAUACAGACCUAGAAACUGGAGUUGGAAAACUUCCUGGCAGCACUCCUUCCCUGCCAUCCCGGUGAUCCCCUUCUGGAUGGAGGGUGUGGAGCUCAGCACAUUCACGUCUGCAGGUUUAUGAUCAACUUUGAAUUAAUUUUGAUGAAAAGUGUAAGGUCAACUCUCCACCUUCCCACCCACUCUGUGCCUGGAAGGGUGACUCCUCUGGCCACCUCUGGCUUCUUGCUUGGUGUGAUCAAAGGAGACUGGAGGAUGCAAGGAGAGUGAAGCGGCUUGUUGGAUUUUGCUUGGCAUGGAAUUGAAUCAAUAGAUCAAUUUGGGAAGAAAUGACAUCUUGGAAGUAUUGAGAAUUUCAAUUCAUGAAAGUCUUGCUCCAUUGCCCUGGCUGGAGUGCAGCGGUGUGAUCCCCACUCACUGCAACCUCUGUCUCCCGGGUUCAAGCGAUUCUCCAGCCUUAGCCUCCUGAGUAGCUGGGACUACAGGCACGUGCCACCAUGCCUGGCUAAUUUUUUGUAUUUUUAGUAGAGACAGGGUUUCAUCAUGUUAGCCAGGAUGGUCUCAAUCUCCUACCUCAUGAUCCACCCGCCUCAGCCUCCCAAAGUGCUGGGAUUACAGACAUGAGCCACCAUGCCUGGCCCAGUGUUCUUUUCUUGUGCAGUCUAAUUUUGGUAUAAGGCUUUUGCUGGCUCUAUAAAAUGACAUGGAAAAUAUUUUCUCCUCUUCUACUCUCUGAAAAAGUUUGUGAAUAAUUUGUAUCAUUUGUUCUAUAAAUACACAAGAGAACUUAUCAGUGAAGUCAUCUGAAAAGGUUUUAAUCGUGAGAAGGUUAUACUGGUGAAUUUAAUUUCAUUACUACAUAUAAAACUAAUUAUGUUUCCUCUUUUUCUUGGAUAUGCUUGAAUAAUUGUGCAUUUCUAAUAUAUUUUAAUCCAAAUUGUCAAAUUUCAUCAAAAUUGUCAAAUUUCUUGGCAUACUAUCCCUGUAUUAGCCUUUUAAUGUCUGUAGAAUCUGUAGUAAUGUCUCCUAUUUUAUUUUUGGUAUUGAAUAUGUGUUUGUGUUUUUCCUUGGUCAGUCUUGCUAGUUUUAUUUACCAUUUCAAAGAAAUAAUCUACUUUAUUGAUUACCUUCGUUAUCUUUAUUAUUUCCUUACUUCUGUUAACAUUUUAUUGAAUUUGUCAUUUUUCUAGCCUUUGAGAUUGCAAGAUUAAAUUUUUUAUUUUGAAACCUUUCUGUGUUUCUAAUAUAAGCAAUUAAAGGUAUAAAAUUACUUCAAGUUCUACCUUAUAUGUAUCUCAUAAAUUUUAAAAUAUUAUAAAUUUAUUACUAUUUCAUUUAAGAUAUUUUAAAAUUUACCUUGCACUUUUUAAAAUUCAUGGCAUACUUGGAAGAUUUUGUUUAACUUUCCAACACAGUAGUGUUUUAAAAAAACAUAUUUUAUAUUUGUUAACUUCUAUUUUAACUCUAUUUAAUUUCAUCAUAGAGAAAAUACUAUGUAAUUUCAAUGCAUAACAUUUAUUGUGUCUUCUUUAAUUUCUUAACAGAUGGUCUGUCUUGGAGAAUGUUCCAUGUGCACUUGAAACAAAUAUGUAUGUUUUCUUGGAUAUAUACAGCUCAAUAGGUUAAAUUGUUUGAUAAUAUUCAGAUAUUCUUUUUCCUUACAGUUGUUUUGUCUAUUUGUUUUCUUAACCACCGGGGCAAGAAUAAAGUCUUCAGUUAUAAUUGUAAAUUUGUCUAUUUCUUCCAGUAGUUUUGUUAAAUUUGCCUAAUGUAUUUUGAAUAACUGUUUAUAUGUUGAUUCAUUUAGGAUUGUUAUGUCUUCUUGAUUAAUUGAUACUUUAUCAGUAUAAAAUAUCUGUCUUUGUCUUUAUGAAUAUUCUUUGUCUUGAAGUCUACUUUGCUUAUAAUAUAGC
rnacentral:lncRNA from 1 species